AGAGUUUGAUCAUGGCUCAGAUUGAACGCUGGCGGCAGGCCUAACACAUGCAAGUCGAGCGGUAGCACAGAGAGCUUGCUCUCGGGUGACGAGCGGCGGACGGGUGAGUAAUGUCUGGGAAACUGCCUGAUGGAGGGGGAUAACUACUGGAAACGGUAGCUAAUACCGCAUAACGUCGCAAGACCAAAGUGGGGGACCUUCGGGCCUCAUGCCAUCAGAUGUGCCCAGAUGGGAUUAGCUAGUAGGUGGGGUAACGGCUCACCUAGGCGACGAUCCCUAGCUGGUCUGAGAGGAUGACCAGCCACACUGGAACUGAGACACGGUCCAGACUCCUACGGGAGGCAGCAGUGGGGAAUAUUGCACAAUGGGCGCAAGCCUGAUGCAGCCAUGCCGCGUGUGUGAAGAAGGCCUUCGGGUUGUAAAGCACUUUCAGCGGGGAGGAAGGCGGUGAGGUUAAUAACCUCAGCGAUUGACGUUACCCGCAGAAGAAGCACCGGCUAACUCCGUGCCAGCAGCCGCGGUAAUACGGAGGGUGCAAGCGUUAAUCGGAAUUACUGGGCGUAAAGCGCACGCAGGCGGUCUGUCAAGUCGGAUGUGAAAUCCCCGGGCUCAACCUGGGAACUGCAUUCGAAACUGGCAGGCUAGAGUCUUGUAGAGGGGGGUAGAAUUCCAGGUGUAGCGGUGAAAUGCGUAGAGAUCUGGAGGAAUACCGGUGGCGAAGGCGGCCCCCUGGACAAAGACUGACGCUCAGGUGCGAAAGCGUGGGGAGCAAACAGGAUUAGAUACCCUGGUAGUCCACGCCGUAAACGAUGUCGAUUUGGAGGUUGUGCCCUUGAGGCGUGGCUUCCGGAGCUAACGCGUUAAAUCGACCGCCUGGGGAGUACGGCCGCAAGGUUAAAACUCAAAUGAAUUGACGGGGGCCCGCACAAGCGGUGGAGCAUGUGGUUUAAUUCGAUGCAACGCGAAGAACCUUACCUGGUCUUGACAUCCACAGAACUUUCCAGAGAUGGAUUGGUGCCUUCGGGAACUGUGAGACAGGUGCUGCAUGGCUGUCGUCAGCUCGUGUUGUGAAAUGUUGGGUUAAGUCCCGCAACGAGCGCAACCCUUAUCCUUUGUUGCCAGCGGUUAGGCCGGGAACUCAAAGGAGACUGCCAGUGAUAAACUGGAGGAAGGUGGGGAUGACGUCAAGUCAUCAUGGCCCUUACGACCAGGGCUACACACGUGCUACAAUGGCAUAUACAAAGAGAAGCGACCUCGCGAGAGCAAGCGGACCUCAUAAAGUAUGUCGUAGUCCGGAUUGGAGUCUGCAACUCGACUCCAUGAAGUCGGAAUCGCUAGUAAUCGUAGAUCAGAAUGCUACGGUGAAUACGUUCCCGGGCCUUGUACACACCGCCCGUCACACCAUGGGAGUGGGUUGCAAAAGAAGUAGGUAGCUUAACCUUCGGGAGGGCGCUUACCACUUUGUGAUUCAUGACUGGGGUGAAGUCGUAACAAGGUAACCGUAGGGGAACCUGCGGUUG
rnacentral:rRNA from 1 species